rnacentral:tmRNA from 1 species
GGGGACGAAUUGGUCUCGACAGGCAAGAAUGAUGUCUCAGGGCAGUAAGGUGGUUGCUAACCUCACAAGAAUAAGUGAUAAAAAAAAUUCAAUGUUACACGUUCCUGCCAUGAAUUCCAUGGCAUGUAUGGCCUAGUCCAUAUAUUCUGAGCUUAUAAACUCAUAACGUGGGUAAAGAAAGAUCUUUCUAGUUUAUUUAUCUUUACCUAAGGAGAACUAGAGUAUAGUAAGGAGUUCACACUUCCUUCUUAUUAUCCUAAUUAGAAGUGUUAGGUAUCUUAAAAUUUGUUCCUUAGGUUAAGAUACUUAAAUGAUAAGGAACUAAACUGUAGGCCUGAUUCGGAAGUUUUGUUUGGACACGGGUUCGACUCCCGCCGUCUCCACCA